UGGGGAAUAUUGCACAAUGGGCGAAAGCCUGAUGCAGCGACGCCGCGUGCGGGAUGAAGGCCUUCGGGUUGUAAACCGCUUUUAAUUGGGAGCAAGCGAGAGUGAGUGUACCUUUUGAAUAAGCACCGGCUAACUACGUGCCAGCAGCCGCGGUAAUACGUAGGGUGCAAGCGUUAUCCGGAAUUAUUGGGCGUAAAGAGCUCGUAGGCGGUUUGUCACGCCUGGUGUGAAAGUCCAUCGCUUAACGGUGGAUCUGCGCCGGGUACGGGCAGGCUAGAGUGCAGUAGGGGAGAUUGGAAUUC
rnacentral:rRNA from 1 species